GCUACACAUGCAGUCGACGGCAGCACAGGAGAGCUUGCUCUCUGGGUGGCGAGUGGCGGACGGGUGAGGAAUACAUCGGAAUCUACUUUUUCGUGGGGGAUAACGUAGGGAAACUUACGCUAAUACCGCAUACGACCUACGGGUGAAAGCAGGGGAUCUUCGGACCUUGCGCGAUUGAAUGAGCCGAUGUCGGAUUAGCUAGUUGGCGGGGUAAAGGCCCACCAAGGCGACGAUCCGUAGCUGGUCUGAGAGGAUGAUCAGCCACACUGGAACUGAGACACGGUCCAGACUCCUACGGGAGGCAGCAGUGGGGAAUAUUGGACAAUGGGCGCAAGCCUGAUCCAGCCAUACCGCGUGGGUGAAGAAGGCCUUCGGGUUGUAAAGCCCUUUUGUUGGGAAAGAAAUCCAGCUGGUUAAUACCCGGUUGGGAUGACGGUACCCAAAGAAUAAGCACCGGCUAACUUCGUGCCAGCAGCCGCGGUAAUACGAAGGGUGCAAGCGUUACUCGGAAUUACUGGGCGUAAAGCGUGCGUAGGUGGUCGUUUAAGUCCGUUGUGAAAGCCCUGGGCUCAACCUGGGAACUGCCGUGGGAUACUGGCCGACUAGAGUGUGGUAGA
rnacentral:rRNA from 14 species